GAGUUUGAUCUUGGCUCAGGAUGAACGCUGGCGGCGUGCUUAACACAUGCAAGUCGAACGAGGAAUUUUAAAUGAGACUUCGGUGGAUUUUAAAAAUUCUUAGUGGCGGACGGGUGAGUAACGCGUGGGCAACCUGCCCUGUACAGGGGGGACAACAGCUGGAAACGGCUGCUAAUACCGCAUAAGACCACGGAGCCGCAUGGCUCAGUGGGAAAAACUCCGGUGGUACAGGAUGGGCCCGCGUUGGAUUAGGUAGUUGGUGAGGUAACGGCCACCAAGCCGACGAUCCAUAGCCGACCUGAGAGGGUGACCGGCCACGUUGGGACUGAGACACGGCCCAAACUCCUACGGGAGGCAGCAGUGGGGAAUCUUCCGC
rnacentral:rRNA from 1 species